rnacentral:antisense_RNA from 1 species
CUUGAUCGAGCCGAGCCACAUCGGCCGGCCCUCCGGGCGGUUCUGCCCGUAGGCGGCGAUGACCGCCUGCGCCUC